UACAGAGGUCCCAAGCGUUGUUCGGAUUCAUUGGGCGUAAAGGGUGCGUAGGUGGCGCGCUAAGUCAGGUGUGAAAUUUCGGAGCUUAACUCCGAAACUGCAUUUGAUACUGGCGUGCUUGAGGACUGGAGAGGAGACUGGAAUUUACGGUGUAGCAGUGAAAUGCGUAGAGAUCGUAAGGAAGACCAGUGGCGAAGGCAGCUUUUUGGUCUGUAACUGACGCUGAGGCGCGAAAGCGUGGGGAGCAAACAGG
rnacentral:rRNA from 1 species